UACGAAAGGUGCAAGCGUUACUCGGAAUCACUGGGCGUAAAGCGCACGUAGGCGGACUCGUAGGUCAAUUGUGAAAUACCUGGGCUCAACCCGGGAACUGCAGUUGAAACCGCUUGUCUUGAAUACCUGAGAGGGUGGGGGAAUACCUGGUGGAGAAGUGAAAUUCGUAGAGAUCAGGUGGAACACCGGAGGCGAAGGCGCCUGCCUGGCAGUGUAUUGACGCUGAGGUGCGGAAGUGCGGGGAGCAAACAGG
rnacentral:rRNA from 1 species